AAGGGCACCACAAGAACGCGUGGAGCAUGUGGCUUAAUUUGACUCAACGCGGGAAAUCUUACCAGGUCCGGACAUAUUGAGGAUUGACAGGCGAUAGUAAUAUUAUUAUAUAAUAUUGCAUAAAAAUGAUAGUCCUUUCAUGAUUAUAUGAUAGGUGGUGCAUGGCCGUUCUUAGUUCGUGGAGUGAUUUGUCUGCUUAAUUGCGUUUCAGAUAUAUAAUUAUAUAAUAUAUUAUAUAGUAAUAUAUAAUUUAAUAUUGUGCUGCCUUAUAUAUUAUUUAUAAGGAUUUUAAGUGAACAUAUUUUAUUAUACAUAUAUUAUUAUAUAUAUUUAUUAUAUAUUAAAAUGAAUGCAACGAACGUGACCGUAACCUUUUAUUGCUAUAAAUAAUAUAUAUUAUUUAUAUUAUAAUAUAGCAUAAAAUUAAAGGGACCGCUGUCUAAAUUUUAGUGUUAAAAUAGAGUAAGAUUACGGCAAUAACAGGUCUGUGAUGCCCUCAGAUGUUCUGGGCUGCACACGUGCUACAAUAAUUACAUUAAUAAGUAUCUGUUAUAAUACAUAAUAUGUUUACAUAUUAUAAUAAACCUAUUUCGAAAGUAAAUGGGUAAUCAUUUAAAAAUCGUGAUUAUUCAUACAUAUAUGGUAUAUUAAUACUGUAUAAUACUAUACAUUUUAUAGUACUAUUACAAAUACCAUUAAUUAAUUUAAGGUGGGGAUAGUGUAUUGUUAAUUAUUACACUUGGCCUUAACUAGGAAUGCCUUGUACUCUUCUUUGGUUUAACAUACCAAGAGGAAUACGUCCCUGCCCUUUGUACACACCGCCCGUCGCUCUUACCGAUGAAUUAUAUUAUAAAUCUAAGGGACAUACAUAUCCUGAAAUUGAAUAUAUUGAAACUUAUAUACAUAAUGUGAUUUAAAGGAAAGAGAAGUCGUAACAAGGCAUCGUAGGUGAACCU
rnacentral:rRNA from 1 species